GGAUAGCCGCCCGAAAGGACGGGUAAUACCGGAUACCCCCGGGCGCCGCAUGGCGCCCGGGCUAAAGCCCCGACGGGAGGGGAUGGCUCCGCGGCCCAUCAGGUAGACGGCGGGGUGACGGCCCACCGUGCCGACAACGGGUAGCCGGGUUGAGAGACCGACCGGCCAGAUUGGGACUGAGACACGGCCCAGACUCCUACGGGAGGCAGCAGUGGGGAAUCUUGCACAAUGGGGGGAACCCUGACGCAGCGACGCCGCGUGCGGGACGGAGGCCUUCGGGUCGUAAACCGCUUUCAGCAGGGAAGAGUCAAGACUGUACCUGCAGAAGAAGCCCCGGCUAACUACGUGCCAGCAGCCGCGGUAAUACGUAGGGGGCGAGCGUUAUCCGGAUUCAUUGGGCGUAAAGCGCGCGUAGGCGGCCCGGCAGGCCGGGGGUCGAAGCGGGGGGCUCAACCCCCCGAAGCCCCCGGAACCUCCGCGGCUUGGGUCCGGUAGGGGAGGGUGGAACACCCGGUGUAGCGGUGGAAUGCGCAGAUAUCGGGUGGAACACCGGUGGCGAAGGCGGCCCUCUGGGCCGAGACCGACGCUGAGGCGCGAAAGCUGGGGGAGCGAACAGGAUUAGAUACCCUGGUAGUCCCAGCCGUAAACGAUGGACGCUAGGUGCGGGGGGACGAUCCCCCCGUGCCGCAG
rnacentral:rRNA from 1 species